rnacentral:rRNA from 1 species
GACGAACGCUGGCGGCGUGCCUAAUACAUGCAAGUUGAGCGCUGAAGGUUGGUACUUGUACCAACUGGAUGAGCAGCGAACGGGUGAGUAACGCGUGGGGAAUCUGCCUUUGAGCGGGGGACAACAUUUGGAAACGAAUGCUAAAACCGCAUAAAAACUUUAAACACAAGUUUUAAGUUUGAAAGAUGCAAUUACAUCACUCAAAGAUGAUCCCGCGUUGUAUUAGCUAGUUGGUGAGGUAAAGGCUCACCAAGGCGAUGAUACAUAGCCGACCUGAGAGGGUGAUCGGCCACAUUGGGACUGAGACACGGCCCAAACUCCUACGGGAGGCAGCAGUAGGGAAUCUUCGGCAAUGGACGAAAGUCUGACCGAGCAACGCCGCGUGAGUGAAGAAGGUUUUCGGAUCGUAAAACUCUGUUGGUAGAGAAGAACGUUGGUGAGAGUGGAAAGCUCACCAAGUGACGGUAACUACCCAGAAAGGGACGGCUAACUACGUG